rnacentral:rRNA from 1 species
CCUACGGGUGGCAGCAGUGGGGAAUAUUGGGUAAUGGAGGAAACUCUGACCCAGCAAUGCCGCGUGAAUGAAGAAGGUCUUCGGAUUGUAAAGUUCUUUAGUCAGGAAAGAAGUCAAUGACGGUACCUGAAUAAUAAGCUUCGGCUAACUACGUGCCAGCAGCCGCGGUAUUACGUAGGGAGCAAGCGUUGUUCGGAAUGACUGGGCGUAAGGGGUGCGUGGGCGGUUGUGCAAGUUAGAGGUGAAAUACCCAGGGCUUAAAUCGGGUGCUGCUUCUAAAACUGGAUGACUUGAGUGAAGUAGAGGUUAGUGGAAUUCCUGGUGUAGCGGUGGAAUGCGUAGAUAUUAGGAGGAACACCAGAGGCGAAGGCAGCUAACUGGACUGCAACUGACGCUGAGGCACGAAAGUGUGGGGAGCGAACAGGAUUAGAUACCCCUGUAGUC